rnacentral:rRNA from 1 species
AACGACUCUCGGCAAUGGAUAUCUCGGCUCUCGCAUCGAUGAAGAACGUAGCGAAAUGCGAUACUUGGUGUGAAUUGCAGAAUCCCGUGAACCAUCGAGUUUUUGAACGCAAGUUGCGCCCGAGGCCACUUUAGGUCGAGGGCACGCCUGCCUGGGCGUCACGC